UACGGAGGGUGCAAGCGUUAUCCGGAUUCACUGGGUUUAAAGGGUGCGUAGGUGGGUUGGUAAGUCAGUGGUGAAAUCUCCGUGCUUAACAUGGAAACUGCCAUUGAUACUACUGAUCUUGAAUUUUCGGGAGGUAAGCGGAAUAUGUCAUGUAGCGGUGAAAUGCUUAGAUAUGACAUAGAACACCAAUUGCAAAGGCAGCUUACUACAGGAAUAUUGACACUGAUGCACGAAAGCGUGGGGAUCAAACAGG
rnacentral:rRNA from 1 species